rnacentral:rRNA from 1 species
UAAUCGACUCUCGGCAACGGAUAUCUCGGCNCACGCAUCGAUGAAGAACGUANCAAAAUGCGAUACUUGGUGUGAAUUGCANAAUCCCGUGAACCAUCNAGUUUUUNAACGCAAGUUGCCCCGAAGCCAUUCGGCCNAGGGCACGUCUGCUUGGGCNUCNCAC